CCUACGGGAGGCAGCAGUGGGGAAUCUUGCGCAAUGGGCGAAAGCCUGACGCAGCCAUGCCGCGUGAAUGAUGAAGGUCUUAGGAUUGUAAAAUUCUUUCACCGGGGACGAUAAUGACGGUACCCGGAGAAGAAGCCCCGGCUAACUUCGUGCCAGCAGCCGCGGUAAUACGAAGGGGGCUAGCGUUGCUCGGAAUUACUGGGCGUAAAGGGAGCGUAGGCGGAUAGUUUAGUCAGAGGUGAAAGCCCAGGGCUCAACCUUGGAAUUGCCUUUGAUACUGGCUAUCUUGAGUACGGAAGAGGUAUGUGGAACUCCGAGUGUAGAGGUGAAAUUCGUAGAUAUUCGGAAGAACACCAGUGGCGAAGGCGACAUACUGGUCCGUUACUGACGCUGAGGCUCGAAAGCGUGGGGAGCAAACAGGAUUAGAUACCCUGGUAGUCCACGCUGUAAACGAUGAGUGCUAGUUGUCGGCAUGCAUGCAUGUCGGUGACGCGAGCUACGCAUAAGUACACUCCGCCGUGGGAGGUACGGUCGCGAGAAUUAAACUACAAUAGAAGUAGACGGCGUGAGACGUGCCGACGGACGACGACGAGGGAGGUUAGG
rnacentral:rRNA from 1 species